rnacentral:rRNA from 1 species
UGGGGAAUAUUGCACAAUGGGCGAAAGCCUGAUGCAGCAACGCCGCGUGAGUGAUGAAGGCCUUCGGGUUGUAAAGCUCUGUCUUUUGGGACGAUAAUGACGGUACCAAAGGAGGAAGCCACGGCUAACUACGUGCCAGCAGCCGCGGUAAUACGUAGGUGGCAAGCGUUGUCCGGAUUUACUGGGCGUAAAGGAUGCGUAGGCGGAUUUUUAAGUGAGAUGUGAAAUACCCGGGCUUAACUUGGGUGCUGCAUUUCAAACUGGGAAUCUAGAGUGCGGGAGAGGAGAAUGGAAUUCCUAGUGUAGCGGUGAAAUGCGUAGAGAUUAGGAAGAACACCAGUGGCGAAGGCGAUUCUCUGGACCGUAACUGACGCUGAGGCAUGAAAGCGUGGGUAGCAAACAGGAUUAGAUACCCUGGUAGUCCACGCCGUAAACGAUGAGUACUAGGUGUAGGAGGUAUCGACCCCUUCUGUGCCGCAGUUAACACAAUCAAGUACUCCGCCUGGGAAGUACGAUCGCAAGAUUAAAACUC